CCUACGGGAGGCAGCAGUGAGGAAUAUUGGUCAAUGGUCGGGAGACUGAACCAGCCAAGCCGCGUGAGGGAUGAAGGUACAGAGUAUCGUAAACCUCUUUUGUCAGGGAACAAAGGCGGGGACGUGUCCCCGGAUGAGUGUACCUGAAGAAAAAGCAUCGGCUAACUCCGUGCCAGCAGCCGCGGUAAUACGGAGGAUGCGAGCGUUAUCCGGAUUUAUUGGGUUUAAAGGGUGCGCAGGCGGUCUGUUAAGUCAGAGGUAAAAGCCCGGGGCUCAACCCCGGCCCGCCGUUGAAACUGGCAGUCUCGAGUUGGAGAGAAGUAUGCGGAAUGCGCGGUGUAGCGGUGAAAUGCAUAGAUAUCGCGCAGAACUCCGAUUGCGAAGGCAGCAUGCCGGCUCCACACUGACGCUGAGGCACGAAAGCGUGGGUAUCGAACAGGAUUAGAUACGUGGGUAGUC
rnacentral:rRNA from 1 species